GACGAACGCUGGCGGCAUGCUUUACACAUGCAAGUCGGACGAGUGGCGGACGGGUGAGUAACGCAUCGGAACGUACCGUGUAAAGGGGGAUAACUGUCCGAAAGUAUAGCUAAUACCGCAUACUAUUCGAUCGGCCGAUGUCGGAUUAGCUGGUUGGUGGGGUAAAGGCCCACCAAGGCGACGAUCAGUAGCGGGUCUGAGAGGAUGACCCGCCACACUGGGACUGAGACACGGCCCAGACUCCUACGGGAGGCAGCAGUGGGGAAUUUUGGACAAUGGGCGCAAGCCUGAUCCAGCCAUGCCGCGUGUCUGAAGAAGGCCUUCGGGUUGUAAAGGACUUUUGGCAGGGAAGCGGUACCUGAAGAAGAAGCACCGGCUAACUACGUGCCAGCAGCCGCGGUAAUAC
rnacentral:rRNA from 1 species